ACAAGUCGCUUCUUCCAUUCCCUUUUGUUUAUUUCGUCGUCUCCGGCACCACAACAGAUUUCUGCCGUCGCCGAAGAUGGGAUGCGCCGCCGGGAUCUGGUCGCUCGAUGCCUGCCGCCCCUCCUGGAGAUAUCGAGCCCUCAACUUCCGCCGCGUCCUCCUCCUGCCUUUCAUUUAGCGUCCUCGGCUUGCUCCGGCUCCCAAGGUCGAGCCUUUUUCUCUGAUGGUCAGAGACCCGAGUGGGGCCUUUGCAGAGCAAUCAGGGAUCGGUUGACGGGUUGAAGCUCCUUCUUUGGCGUCCGGAUCUGGUUUCGGGGCAGCAAGAGCCAAAAAAAGGGAUGCUGUUUGUGCUUGCUCUUUCCCGCUUCACCCUGAUUGUACAUAGUAGCUCCCGGUCGCCGGUUAGAGAAAGUUUUGGUCUCUUCCGGAGGUUGUAGGUUUUACGGGUUUUGGUUUUUGUGCUUCGUGCUUGGCAAUCGGUUUUUGGGGAUUGAAAGGAGUCGGAAGACUCGUUUUUUGUUUUUGUUUUUGUUUUUGGGGUUUUGUUUUUCUACUUUUUGUUUCUUGGGUGGGAGCUUAUCUUGUCAGUUUGAAGUUUACGAAAGAUCUUGACAAGAGAAAAGAGGGAAAAAGAAAAAAGAAUUACGGAGGGAAGGGGAACUGCUAGGUUUUUUUAUGACCGAGAGCAGUUUCAGUUUAUGGGAGUUGCUAAUUACCCUAUUCUUGAUCUGAUACUAAAGGUCAGAUCUUGGGCGAGCAUUGUUCCUGACGUGUUGUCUGAAUCCUUGAUGUCGUCGGUCGGUGUUCUCGUUGCGUGCAGCGAGUGUAGAGAGUACUUGUCGCCCGGGUCUAGCUACCGAUGCCGCGGCUGUGGCCGGUUGCUGUGCCGGAAGUGUAUGCUUAGUGCUGCCUCGACUUCAGAUCGAGCUGAACAGCAGAUGUGUCUUUGUAACUUAUGCUUUCCAGUUGACAAUGGACCCUGGGAAGCAGCACAGCCUCAUGACAUCCCGAUUACGGAAACCAGUCCUUUUACAUCUCCUAAGUCGCCCUUGUCCAGAUCUAGCACUGAUAGGCUCAGCCAGUUGGUAGAGCUGCGACGGUUGUCUUCUCCGCGCCUGCUUCAUUGCUCAACGUACAAAAGUUAUAAUGACCACCAGGGUGAGGAUGAGGGGAAGCAGUUUUUCACGCCUAUGAGCAUAUUCUCUCAAGAGUUUUCGGACAUAGAUUCUAUGAGUAUCAGUGCUGGAAAUGAGUUGUGCAGCUUCAAGUCAGCAAAUUCAAGUCCUUUUGACAGUCCGUGUAGAUCCAUUGAACAAGGGCUAGCUAGCUCUCUCCUGGAACAGACUGUCCUUUUUAGUCAAGGUUCACCACAUCAGUUCAGCAAACACAGAGUAGAUGCUGAGGAUUUACUGGAGAAUGCUAAUGAUGAUUCAAUUUCUGAGAACGUCAUGAUAGACGAUGAUCAAGAUAGUCAAAAAGCUGCAGAACAUUGUGAUUUUGAGAAUGAUAAAAUCUUUUACCCUCCUAUCCCUGAGGACGAGCAAGAUGAUGAUGAAACUAACUUCUUUGGAUAUAUUGAUGAGGAUGAUGAUGUUGAUGAAUCAUCCAAGUUCUUCAGAACUAGUAGCUUCAGUAGUGAUUCCUUCCACAAUAGAGAGAAGUCUAAUGAGUCUCACAAGGAGGCUUUAAAGAAUGUUCAUGCUCAUUUUAGUGCUCUUGUAUCGCAGUUGUUGAAGGGAGAAGGUGUUUGUGCGGGAAGUGAUCAAAAGGGGCUGGACUGGCUGGAAAUAAUAUCUUCAUUAGCAUGGCAAGCUGCUAAUUUCGUUAAACCGGACACCAGCCGUGGUGGUAGCAUGGAUCCAGGUGACUAUGUUAAAGUCAAGUGUAUAGCAUCAGGCCGUCCAAGUGAUAGCAUCCUAGUCAAGGGAGUAGUCUGUACAAAGAAUGUAAAGCACAAACGUAUGCUUGCACUGCAUAAGAACCCUAGGUUGCUUCUUUUAGGAGGCUCACUGGAGUAUCAAAAGGCUCCAAAUGAAUUGGCAUCUAUCGUAUCUGUUCUUGAGAAGGAAACCAAUUACAUGAAUACAAUGCUUUCUAAGAUAGAGGCACUUCGUCCAAAUGUACUUCUUGUUGAGAAAAGUGCUUCUUCAUAUGCUCAAGAAUAUCUUUUGGAAAGAAAAGAGGUGUCUUUAGUGCUAAAUGUCAAGAAACCUCUGUUAGAGAGGAUAUCCAAGUGUACAGGUGCUCAGAUUGUUCCAUCCGUCAAUGGUCUUUCUUCAGCGACGUUAGGGCACUGUGAAAUGUUUCGGAUAGAAAAAGUAUAUGAAGAAUUCUCAUCUACCAAACAGGCAAAGAAGCCAUGCAAAACUUUGAUGUUUUUUGAAGGCUGUCCACGACGUUUAGGGUGCACGGUUCUUCUGAGGGGUGCAUGUCUUGAAGAAUUGAAGAAGCUAAAGCAUGUUAUCCAGUAUGCAAGUUUUGCAGCUUAUCAUCUAUCAUUGGAGACAUCAUUCCUAGCUGACGAGGGCGCUUCCCUGCCUAAAUUUCCUAUAGUGCCUUCAAUUGAGUUGCCUAAGAAGCUUAUUGAGGCCGAUCAAUUUCACUCUACAGUUUCUAGUGUGACUUCUCCUGACAAAACUGUUGGUAAUAAUCAUCAAAACGAUAGGUCAGGCAUCAAACUUGACAUAGAGAGGUUGAAUCUAUCCUUGGAUAUCAUCCAUUCACACGAAGAAUUACUUGAAAAUAUUUCAGAUCCUCAAAAAUCUAACUCUUUGUUUGAGUUAACUAGCAUUUCUGAUAUGAAUGAAUUUUCUAAUCAAAGGGGCACUGCUUUCAAAUCCUCUCCAUAUGUUUUCAUUUGUGGGCCAGAAACUGGUUUCUCUUUCAAGGAACCAACUUGCAUUUCACCUUUAUCUAUCCAUCCUAGCAAUCACCAAGGUGCAAUGCUUGAACAAUCAGUUAAAGAAAGAAGUAAGGAUUCUAAUGACAGGCUUCUUAUGCCAGAAGAUGGACAUAAUAAGUCAGAUAUUGCUCUUGAGAAUGAAGUUCCUGGAAAUUACUUUUCCACUGCUGAUAACCACCAGAGCAUAUUGGUUUCCUUAUCAAGCACUUGUAUAAGAAAAAGCCAAGUUUGUGAGCGAUCCCAACUUUUCCGAAUCAAGUUUUAUGGUAGUUUUGAUAAGCCUCUUGGUAGAUAUCUUCGUGAUGAUUUGUUUGAUGAGACAUAUUGUUGUCCGUCUUGUAAAGAGCCAACAGAAUCCCAUGUUCGUUGUUAUACUCACCAACAUGGCAGCCUUACUAUCAUGGUCAGACGACUUCCUUCUGUAAAAUUACCUGGUGAACAUGAUGGAAGGAUAUGGAUGUGGCACAGAUGCCUUAAGUGCAAAAGAGACGAGGAUGGAGUGCCACCAGCUGCACGUAGAGUCAUCAUGUCUGAUGCUGCAUGGGGGCUUUCUUUUGGGAAAUUCUUGGAACUUAGCUUCUCAAGUCAUGCUACUGCUAACCGUGUUGCAAGUUGUGGCCACUCACUUCAAAGAGAUUGCCUUCGCUUCUACGGGUUUGGCAACAUGGUCGCCUUCUUUCAUUAUUCCCCUGUAGAUAUCUUAUCUGUUUGCUUACCGCUAUCAGUUCUGGAUUUCAACUGCCAUGUUGAGCAAAAAUGGUUGAAAGAGGAGGCAGAUCUGGUAUCCAAUAAAAUAAAUAUUUUGCAUGAUAAGAUUUCUGAUGUGCUACAUACAAUUGAGAGGAAGGUCACAACAUUUGAGAAUGAACCCUUGAAAGCAAGUAUUCAGAGACAUGCUAACAAGCUGAAGGAUUUGCUUAUUGAAGAACGGCAUGACUAUGAUGUCUUGCUUCAACAAGUUGCAUUUGGAAAUACUCAACCCCCUCAGGAAAUGCUUGACAUCUUAGAGCUUAACCGGUUGAGACGUGCACUUCUACUUGAUUCAUACGUGUGGGAUCGUCGACUUUAUUCACUGGACUCGUUGUCCAAGGAGAAAAAUUGUACCGUGACUGGCUUGCCUCUUGUUAACUUCCCCUCUAGAAGCAAUAUGAGCGAUUUGAGGGAAGAAAUAUCUUUGACGGAUGAAUCAUUUAGUAGCUUGCCUGGAGAAACUGCUGCAAAGUCACCUUUUUCAGGUACAAUUGAAAAAUCAAGUUUUCAGAAGAAGAAGAAUGAGGAUCUUAGCUUGGAGAUUUUUGACUGUAACACAAACAACAUGGUUGAAAUGGACUUGUCCAUAGAGGGGUACUUAGGCUCAGCGGGUUUUAACUUUGUCUCUAGUCAAUUUGAAGACGACACACCUGUGUUUGGUGACAAUGGAAGUACUGUUUUGGAGAACUCAACUUUGCCCACAUCUAGCCUUUCAGAUAAAAUUGAUUUAGCAUGGAGUGGUUCUGGUCAGCCUCUGAUGGAUGGACCAAAAGAUUGUUCAGAGGUUGAUAAAAGUGGAUUUCUAAAGGACACUCCAUCCUACAGGAGGGUUAAUUCCCCAUUAAGGGUUCAUUCGUUUGAUUCUGCUUUAAAAUUCCGUAGAAGAGUAAUUGGUGGUUUCCUUCCUGCUUCGUUGCAUUUAAGUUCAGUGAGAUCCUUUGAUUCCUCUAGGGGUCUUUCAAGCAUGGCAAACAAUCCACUUAUAAGCAUGAGAAGAGCGUACUCACAGAGUUCUCCAGUUCCCAGAUUGGAUAAUUUUCUCAAUCGCACGCCUAUGCAUAUUUCACCGAUAAUGGAUAAGAUGACUGCAGGGGCACGGUUACUAUUACCUCAAAGUGCUCUUGACAAUAUUGUUAUUGCAGUCUAUGAUGAUGAACCCUCCAGCAUCAUAUCCUAUGCUAUGACUUCCCAACAAUAUGGUGACUAUAUAACAUCCUGUUUAGAUGAAAUUGAGAACUUUAGUAUGAGCAAAACUAGUAGUUUUGGUAACCAUCACAGCAACCAUGCUGAUGGAACAGGUUUACUACCUCAUCAGGCUGUUCUUGGAUCUGAGGAGCCUAAAGUUUCUCGGGUAUUAGACUCGAAGGAAACUCAUUUCAGAGUUUCUUUUGAUGAUGAGUAUUCCAUUCCUUCAGAUAAAGCAAACUUUUCUGUUACUUGUUACUUCACAAAGCAAUUUCAUGCACUAAGGAAGUUAUGCUGUCCAAGUGAAUUGGAUUACAUACGCUCCUUAAGCCGCUGCAAGAGAUGGAGUGCACAAGGUGGUAAAAGCAAUGUUUAUUUUGCCAAGUCAUUGGAUGAGAGAUUUAUCAUAAAGCAAAUCACGAAAACAGAGUUGGAUUCUUUUGAAGAUUUUGCUUCAGAAUAUUUCAAAUAUUCAACAGAAGCUAUUACUUCUGGUAGCCCAACCAGCCUUGCCAAAGUCCUUGGUAUUUAUCAGGUGUCUGUUAAGCACUCCAAAGGUGGAAGGGAAAUGAAAAUUGAUGUCAUGGUAAUGGAGAAUCUGUUCUUUAAUAGGAGUAUUUCAAGAAUUUAUGAUCUCAAAGGUUCAGUCCGCUCUCGUUAUAACCCUGAUACCACGGGAAACAAUACAGUUCUACUAGAUUUAAAUCUGUUAGAGAUGAAACCAAUAUUUAUAGGAAGCAAGGCCAAGAGAAGAUUGGAACGUGCUGUUUGGAAUGAUACUUCUUUUCUGGCAUCUAUCUAUGUCAUGGACUACUCAUUGCUUGCUGGCAUCGAUGAGACAAAGAACGAGCUUGUUAUAGGAAUAAUAGACUACAUGCGACAAUACACAUGGGACAAGCAGCUCGAAACCUGGGUAAAAGCCUCAGGCAUCCUCGGUGGCCCAAAAAAUGCGACUCCGACUGUAAUAUCACCAUUGCAGUACAAGAAAAGAUUCAGGAAAGCCAUGUCAAAUUACUUCCUUACAGUCCCUGACCAGUGGUCGUCUUGAGCCUCCUUGUCAUCGUCUGCAAAGAUGUUCGAUCUGUUCCCACGAAUCUAGAGUCGAAUUUGUCAAUAAAACUCAUUCCAGAAAGAUGAGAAUAGGUGGAUGCAUAGGAAUGAGGAAACAAAACAGGGGAGUUCAAAGAACAAGUUUACGAUGAAAAGUGAUCAUCUAUCCCCUCCCCGUUCUUUCUUCCUAUUCAACCAAAAUACGGAUAUGGAUCGCAUUCGAAUUUGUUCCGUCAUCCUUGAUUGUAAUUGAGUGACAACACUCAACUUCAUUGUUAUAUUAAAAUACGGAUAUGUCAGUUUGACGUUCUGAAAAGUAUAGUCUGAUGCUAAUCCUCGACUAGAUUUAAAAAUGAGGCUUGUAAUGCAUUGGUUUUUUA